AGGGUUUGAUCCUGGCUCAGAUUGAACGCUGGCGGCAGGCCUAACACAUGCAAGUCGAGCGAGAAAGCACUUCGGUGCGAGUACAGCGGCGGACGGGUGAGUAACGCGUAGGAAUCUACCCAGUGGUGGGGGACAACUUGGGGAAACCCAAGCUAAUACCGCAUACGCCCUACGGGGGAAAGCGGGGGACCUUCGGGCCUCGCGCCAUUGGAUGAGCCUGCGUUGGAUUAGCUAGUUGGUGGGGUAAAGGCCCACCAAGGCGACGAUCCAUAGCUGGUCUGAGAGGAUGAUCAGCCACACUGGGACUGAGACACGGCCCAGACUCCUACGGGAGGCAGCAGUGGGGAAUAUUGCGCAAUGGGCGAAAGCCUGACGCAGCCAUGCCGCGUGUGUGAAGAAGGCCCUAGGGUUGUAAAGCACUUUCAAUUGGGAAGAAAAGCUUGUCAUUAAUAGUGGCAAGCCCUGACAUUACCUUUAGAAGAAGCACCGGCUAACUCCGUGCCAGCAGCCGCGGUAAUACGGAGGGUGCAAGCGUUAAUCGGAAUUACUGGGCGUAAAGCGCGCGUAGGCGGUUGUUUAAGUCGGAUGUGAAAGCCCUGGGCUCAACCUGGGAACUGCAUUCGAUACUGGGCAACUUGAGUACGAGAGAGGGAGGUAGAAUUCCACGUGUAGCGGUGAAAUGCGUAGAUAUGUGGAGGAAUACCGGUGGCGAAGGCGGCCUCCUGGCUCGAUACUG
rnacentral:rRNA from 1 species